UACGGGGGGGGCAAGCGUUGUUCGGAAUUACUGGGCGUAAAGGGCUCGUAGGUGGCCAACUAAGUCAGACGUGAAAUCCCUCGGCUUAACCGGGGAACUGCGUCUGAUACUGGAUGGCUUGAGUUCGGGAGAGGGAUGCGGAAUUCCAGGUGUAGCGGUGAAAUGCGUAGAUAUCUGGAGGAACACCUGUGGCGAAGGCGGCUCACUGGCCCGAUACUGACGCUGAGGUGCGAAAGCGUGGGGAGCAAACAGG
rnacentral:rRNA from 1 species